UUCACCAUGUAGGCGCACAAAACUGUUGCACUAAAAAAAACUUGAGUUUGUGUAAAACGUAUUUACCGGUUUUCAAGUUGUUGUUGUUGUUGUUUGGAAAUAAGUGAUGGUGGCAGCUGUGAAUUGAUGAACAGAACCAGUUGAGGUACUGUUAAGGUCAAGAAUGAGUGUAUUACUAUAGCCCUUCUGCGCAAGUACUGGCCCUUACAUUCUUGAAAAUGGAGGGUACAAUGACAGUAUUAUUGGAUCAUUUGGGAAAUGUUAUGUCUGCAUUGCAGUUUUUCUCAUCUGCUAGACAAUCAUGGCAGCUGUGUAGCAGUAAAACAGUGUCAUGUGACCAGACUGAGAAACCGUGUGACAUUGUUUACGUUCUUCCACUUGUGACAAAUUCAAACACCUGAAGAGUGUAUUACAUCAUGAUUUACUUGAGGAUAGGUGGUCAAAUGAAACAUCAAAUUUGUGAUUUCUUUACUGUGAUGUGGAAAGAAUGGGAGCCCAGCAGUAGACAGGACAGAUGCAUAUACAGAAGAUGAUUGUCAACAUUCUGUGACUUCAGUAUGUUACAUGUCAAGAAUGGAAUAAGUGCAGCACAAUUGUUUUGAUUAACUGCUAGCCAAAGUUGAAAUCAUGUUCUGCUGCAUUAAACUAGUCAGAGUACUGCUCACCAAAUUUUGAUUACUCUUUCCCAUAAGGUUGUCUGUAACGGUGGAAAAUGGUACUGGUCACAAAGUUUUCGUAACCAUACAUCCGUAUGUCAGGCUAACUGAUUGUUACCGAAUGUGCAGAUGAGGGAUUUUAAAUCUGGAGCUGUUUCACAUGCAGUAAUAUGACCUCACAGGUUGAGAAGUAGCAAUGGUGUUAACCACGUCUCACGGUACGGCACAGGGUGUCGUCCGGAUGCGGAGCUGAUGCAGCUUGCAGUCAUUAGCAGUUACCAGAAGGCAAA